rnacentral:lncRNA from 1 species
CCGGGCUUCGGGGGGGUAAAAUGGGCGUGUGUUGUUUCUGAGUUUCUGCUUGUAAUGGUUAAGGACGGUUCUUUGACAAGUCAAGUGUCGGUCUGGCAGGGUAGUCCGGGUUAAGGACGGUUAUUGACAAGUUAAGUGUCGGUCUCAGAGUCAGUCUUUGGAGUACAAGUGGUGGAACAAUAAUGGUUGCAAAUAUCUAACGGUAAUUUGGAAAAUUUUAUUAUUAUCUUAUUGGCUCAAAAAUUGUCCUGAAGGUUGGUUGUACCACCCGGAUAUUUAUUAUUUCUUUUCAUGCCCUUACUGUGGUGUUGCUAAGAUGCCCGACUGUGUCUUGCUAAUUAUUUUUUAUGUCGUUUCUGUGGUAUCGCUAAGACGGCCGACUGUGGCUUGUUAUUUAUUUUUUAUGCCCUUUUUGUGGUGUCGCUAAGACGCCCGACUCUGGCUUGUUAAUUAUUUUUUAUGUCGUUUCUGUGGUGUCGCUAAGACGCCCGACUGUGGCUUGCUAUUUAUUUUGUAUGCCCUUUCUGUGGUGUCGCUAAGACGCACGACUCUGGAUUGUUAUUAUUUUUAUGCCUUCUCUGUGGUGUUGCUAAGACGCCCGUUUGUGGCUUGUUAUUUAUUUUAUGCCUUGUAUGAGGCAUCGCUCACACGCUCGGUGCAUUUUAUCUUUUUGUUGGGAUAUCUCGGGAGGAUUACCGCCCGAUCUAUCCACUAACUUAACAUAUUUCUAACACACCCAUUUGAUAAAUUGUGACUUGAACCAUGCAUAUUAAUAAUUGGAUGCAUGCAUCUCAGCUUUUGUGCAAACUGUUUGCGAGUACUUUUUGAAGUACUCACUGGCUUGUUGAUGUGGCCAGAUAUGGAUGAACGAGACCUCAUGGAUGAAGAGUUCGACAACGAGUACGAUGUCUUGAGGAGUCCCAGUCAGUCUUGCGUUGCUGGAGUCUGCUGUUGGAUUAUUUCAUCGCUUCUGCCGCCACGAAUAAAUCAUCAAGCCUCACUCUGAUGCUUGGUGCGUAGUAGUACUUGUUAUGUCACAUUACUCUAAUGUGUCAUGCCCCUUUUAUUACGAACACUAGGGUUAUCACAUUACCAUGUAACAUAUCCAUCUGUGUGAGACUUGGACAAGUUGUAAUAAAUUGUAGAGCAACUUCUGCUCUACCUGUUUAAAAUUAAGUACUACUGGUUUUUUGUAUCAAGAUGAGUCUAUCAAUGCGAAAUACUUUUCUAGACUCGAUAUGCACAUGGAUGAUUUCCAAUAAAU